rnacentral:rRNA from 1 species
GAUGAACGCUGGCGGCGUGCUUAACACAUGCAAGUCGAACGGUGAAGGAGAGCUUGCUCUCUGGAUCAGUGGCGAACGGGUGAGUAACACGUGAGCAAUCUGCCCCUGACUCUGGGAUAAGCGCUGGAAACGGCGUCUAAUACCGGAUACGAGCUGCGAAGGCAUCUUCAGCAGCUGGAAAGAAUUUCGGUCAGGGAUGAGCUCGCGGCCUAUCAGCUUGUUGGUGAGGUAAUGGCUCACCAAGGCGUCGACGGGUAGCCGGCCUGAGAGGGUGACCGGCCACACUGGGACUGAGACACGGCCCAGACUCCUACGGGAGGCAGCAGUGGGGAAUAUUGCACAAUGGGCGCAAGCCUGAUGCAGCAACGCCGCGUGAGGGAUGACGGCCUUCGGGUUGUAAACCUCUUUUAGUAGGGAAGAAGCGAAAGUGACGGUACCUGCAGAAAAAGCACCGGCUAACUACGUGCCAGCCGCCGCCGUAA